GAUGAACGCUAGCUACAGGCUUAACACAUGCAAGUCGAGGGGUAACGAGAGGAAAGCUUGCUUUCCUUGUCGACGACCGGCGCACGGGUGAGUAACGCGUAUCCAACCUGCCCCCAACUAGGGAAUCACAUUGCGAAAGUAAGACUAAUAACCUCUAAUUUCCUCAGAUGUCAUCUGACCAGGAAUAAAGAUUUAUCGGUUGUGGAUGGGGAUGCGUCUGAUUAGCUUGUUGGCGGGGUAACGGCCCACCAAGGCAACGAUCAGUAGGGGUUCUGAGAGGAAGGUACCCCACAUUGGAACUGAGACACGGUCCAAACUCCUACGGGAGGCAGCAGUGAGGAAUAUUGGUCAAUGGGCGGAAGCCUGAACCAGCCAAGUAGCGUGCAGGAUGACGGCCCUAUGGGUUGUAAACUGCUUUUAUACAGGAAUAAAGUUAGCCACGUGUGGUUAUUUGUAGGUACUGUAUGAAUAAGGACCGGCUAAUUCCGUGCCAGCAGCCGCGGUAA
rnacentral:rRNA from 1 species